rnacentral:misc_RNA from 1 species
GAAAUGCGAUAAGUAAUGUGAAUUGCAGAAUUCAGUGAAUCAUCGAAUCUUUGAACGCACAUUGCACCCCCUGGUAUUCCGGGGGGCAUGCCUGUUCGAGCGUCAUUUCACCACUCAAGCCUCGCUUGGUAUUGGGCAACGCGGUCCGCCGCGUGCCUCAAAUCGACCGGCUGGGUCUUCUGUCCCCUAAGCGUUGUGGAAACUAUUCGCUAAAGGGUGUUCGGGAGGCUACGCCGUAAAACAACCCCAUUUCUAAGGUUGACCUCGGAUCAGGUAGGGAUACUCGCUGAACUUAAGC